AUGGGUCAUGUCUCCGACGCGUGGCGUUGGCAUGCCAGGCUAGGACACCAGCACUUUGACGGGUUGCGAAAGAUGGCGCGAGGCAACCUCGUUCAUGGGCUACCUCACAUCGAGCACGCCGACGAAUUGUGCGAUGCGUGUCUUGCCGGGAAGCAGCGGCGCUUGCCCUUUCCCGAGAAGGCACGCUAUCGGGCGCAGAAACCCCUGGAGCUGGUUCACGGGGACCUCUGCGGCCCAAUCACCCCGACAACGCCAGGAGGGCGUCGCUACAUCCUGCUGCUCGUCGACGACUACAGCAGGUUCAUGUGGGUGCUUCUCCUCGCCUCCAAGGAUGAGGCGGAGCCAGCCAUCGUCAAGCAGCAAGCGGCAGCAGAGGUCGAGUGCGGCCACAAGCUGCGCGUUCUACGCACGGACCGUGGCGGCGAGUUCACGUCGGACACGUUCUACAAGCACUGCAACGAGAAAGGGGUGCAACGUCACCUCACAGCCCCUUACUCGCCGCAGCAGAAUGGCAUCGUCGAGCGGAGGAACCAAACGGUGCUCGGGAUGGCACGCUAUUGGGGAACG
rnacentral:rRNA from 1 species